GCUUUCGGCCAUACCACCCUGAGCACGCCCGAUCUUCGUCUGAUCUCGGAAGCUAAGCGAGGUCGGCCUGGUUUAGUACUUGGAUGGAGACCGCCUGGGAAUACCAGGUGCAGUAAGCU
rnacentral:rRNA from 1 species